AUCAACAGCAGAUUACUUGUGUACUGAUACGUGUAACGGAUCGGGGCUAGAAACGGUAAAACGUAACACGGAUUUUGAUGGUUUCACGCAUGGCUAGCAUAUACCAGUGUAUGUGUUACAUAAGCAUUGUGUGGGACUCCAUUGGAACAAGGGUAUAAACUGACGUGGGCGUGGGAAUAUUGACACAAUGGUAGUCUUGAGCGGACUGUAAGCCGAGCGGUAGUCCGGGGCACAGAUUUGGGGACAAACUACAUGUGAACUUGUGUCAUGAAUCGUUUUGAAAUUCCUAUUCCAAUGUGCACGUGUUCGCCGUAUGGUUACACGUUGUUUUGACUAUGCCCUGUGAAGACGCCGUUGAAACAUCUCGUCACUAGUCAGUGUACUACCAAUCGGAUAUACACGCUGUAUAAAGGAUAUUACCUAUUGCUCAUCACCUGUCAACAGUAUGAACAUCCAAACAAGCAAAGGGAUGGGUUUGAAGUCGAGUAGUGGCAUGGGUAUUGAAACUACCAAAGGUGCCGCUCUCAAAGAAGGAAAGGAUAUUUAUAAGUCAGACGAUUAUGCUCAGAUACGGAAAUACCUAGGUACCAAGUCGCACUAUGAAGGAGGGUACAACCCAACCCCCCGAUCCAGGGUUAUCAAGGUGAAGGCCGCCCAAGUGAAACCAGAAUCAGCAACGCCAUCACCAGAGGUUUAAGACCGCUGUAACGCUGGUAUCAUCUGCAAGGCAGAAGUACCAAGGAUCAAGACCCCGCACGGCUCGGCUGUCGGGACAGUCAAGAGGAUGCUGUUCCUGUUUGAACAGAAUGCUCAUUCACACUCUCCACCUCUGGGCUGGGACGCAUUUUCCUGACAUGUGACAAUGUCCAUAUCGUCCCCUCUAUACAACAUACAUCAUACCCGAAUGUUUUCACCAACAGGAGAAACAUAUCACCCAUUCAGGAAACCCCGUUAAACCGAACUGUACCACUGUGGCAUCGUCUGAAAUAUCACAUUGUCUGGAUAACGAGUUGUUUUGGAGUACUGCUGUAUACAGGUAGAGGUCCUGACAGAGAGUGGUGAUUCUUGACUAAGGGGAUUAUCAGGAUUUCAUUGUGCAUGCUGUACAAGUAUAACUGUGUCAUGUAUUUAAUGUAUGGUUUUCUAAUGCUGUUCUCCGAGGGCGCUGAAUUUUCACAAUAAGGAAAGACGUUCAAUAGACAAGCCUUCAUACUAUGUGCAGCUGCUCAAAUCUCACAUAUUAAGAUUGGGAUUUAAAAAUAUUCUCAAUUUGCAUUAAUACAUUUAUGUGUGUUUUUCUCUCUUUAUUAGAAUUGUGGAUUGUACAUAACCGCCGUGCUAAUGGUGACUUGGUAUACUUACCUCAUUCAAUUAUAAUUUAUGAAUACUUGACCCGUGAAGUUCCUGGGUAGAAUAGGUCUUCAGCAACCCAAGGCGACUAUGAUUUGGUUAGUCAUUUAUUUAUUGAUUUCAAAUGACUCAAGCUUAUAUUUACAGGAUGCUGUAUGACGAGUUAAUAAGUGUGCCUCGCAUACAUGUGGUUGUUGGCGAUAGAUUAUGUACCGACUGGAGAGUGAUAACUGACAGGUUGACAUGUUAUACUCCAGUGUUGGUCGUCAUGGACUAAUCGUCCAUUAGAUACUGAUAUUUAAUGAUAUUUGUCAAUGUAGGUAGUAUAACGUAGGUAGUAUAUUUCUUAUCGACCCGUGAAGAUUCGGUCUUCAGCAACCUAUACUUGCUGUAAAAUGCGACUAUGCUUGUCGGAAGAUGCCACUAACGGGAUCGGGUGGUCAGGCUCGCCGACUUGGUUAAUGCAUGUCAUCGUAUCCCAAUUGCGUGGAUCAAAUGCUGAUGAUGGCAAUUACUUGAUUGUCUGGUCCUAACUCGAUUAUUUACAGACCGCCGUCAUGUAGCUGCAAAUCUACUGAAAAAUUCUUCAUUUUGACCUGGCCUGUUUUAUACCUAAACUGUGAUAUUUGCUUUACUGUUUUACUGUCCUUUGUCAACAGAUACUUCACGAUAAAUAACUUGUUCUCAUCGCGAUAUGGCUGUAAUAUUGCCGAUGCGAUACUAAUUCACACAUGGGCCUGAAAGUGAAAUUUGACUUUUGCGCGAGCUGUUCGUAUACGUUAAUAUGCGCUAUAGGAUUCGAGUAUUUGGCUGCCACAGAUAGACUCGUGAUAUUAUUUCCUCUCGCCAUUUCGUUCUCGCAACGGUACCUUUACAUCUCAAUAAAAAAUUGUCCCUCAUCUAUCCUCUGCCGUGUUUCCUUUCUGGGCUGGGUACUGACAAUAAGCAAAUGUUGUUUGACACUUAUAGGCUUCGCCUGGCAUGAUGAAGAGACAUUAAAUGAUGUUCGAACAUGUUUUUAAGCAUAACUUCUAUUUUCGAACAAAUAAAAUUCUUAUGUGU
rnacentral:misc_RNA from 1 species